rnacentral:rRNA from 1 species
CCCUUAGAUGUUCUGGGCCGCACGCGCGCUACACUGAUGCAUUCAACGAGCCUAUCCUUGACCGACAGGUCCGGGUAAUCUUUGAAUCUGCAUCGUGACGGGGAUAGAUUAUUGCAAUUAUUAAUCUUCAACGAGGAAUGCCUAGUAGGCGCAAGUCAUCAGCUUGCGUCGAUUACGUCCCUGCCCUUUGUACACACCGCCCGUCGCUCCUACCGAUUGGGUGUGCUGGUGAAACGUUCGGAUCGGCCGUUUGUCGCGGUUUCCGCGUCAUGUGGCUGAGAAGUUCAUUAAACCCUCCCACCUAGAGGAAGGAGAAGUCGUAACA